GAAGGGCUGCGAAGCAAAUCCGGGUUUAUCUGGACACAGCUAGGUCAUACUUGUCUUGGGUCAGUCUCUUCCAGGCUUUCAUUCCAGUGAGCCGCAGACAGGUAACAGGUGGGACAGAUGAGAAGAUCAGUGCUCAGAGGAGUGGAAGGCACACUUGUCCAAGGUACACACUACGGCAGAGACAAUAUUGAACAUAGGAGGACACCAAGGUCUGAACUCUUAACCAGUAUUGUACGUGGUUUUAUGGGUUGCCAUAAACCUUCAAUUUGUGAAAAACAUGUUAUCUGUGAAGAGCAAUAAAGUGAAGUGCAAUAAAAUGAGUGAAUAUAAUCACAGCGAGGAUGGUCCUUGCCCGCAAGUCUAUUUGCCCGGCUGGCAACUGGCCACACCUGGAAGGACUUGCUGCUCCUACUUGCUUAACAUACUAACCUUGACGGCUACAGGGAAACUUAGAGACAUCAUCCUGCCUUGGCUCCGUGGGUGCUAAGGUCCUCUGCUUGAUAUUGGCCCUGCCAGGAAUCACCAGCCAGUCCUGCUUUCCCUGGAAGGCACACAUAGAUGACACAACCGCCCUCACUGGGCAAAUGAUUCUGGAAAGGUCAUGCCCUCUACACUUCUGCUUAGACCUGGGCUUAA